rnacentral:rRNA from 1 species
GGCGGACGGGUGAGUAACGCGUGGGUAACCUGCCUCAUACAGGGGGAUAACAGUUGGAAACGGCUGCUAAUACCGCAUAAGCGCACAGUACCGCAUGGUACCGUGUGAAAAACUCCGGUGGUAUGAGAUGGACCCGCGUCUGAUUAGCUAGUUGGUGGGGUAACGGCCUACCAAGGCGACGAUCAGUAGCCGACCUGAGAGGGUGACCGGCCACAUUGGGACUGAGACACGGCCCAAACUCCUACGGGAGGCAGCAGUGGGGAAUAUUGCACAAUGGGGGAAACCCUGAUGCAGCGACGCCGCGUGAGCGAUGAAGUAUUUCGGUAUGUAAAGCUCUAUCAGCAGGGAAGAAAAUGACGGUACCUGACUAAGAAGCCCCGGCUAACUACGUGCCAGCAGCCGCGGUAAUACGUAGGGGGCAAGCGUUAUCCGGAUUUACUGGGUGUAAAGGGAGCGUAGACGGCAUGGCAAGCCAGAUGUG